UAUACUAAAACCCGUAGGGGUUGGGUACUGUGGAUGACCAGUGUCCGGACGGAACUGCCCUCGCUUCUCUGUUUUCUUUCCGUUUGUGUACCUGUUUUCCACGAGGCGCUCAUUUUAUUCUCUCGACUUCGAGAGUCAUCUUGAGUUAGGGUUUUGUUCCUUCGUUGCUUUUCUUGAUUUCGGCUUUUGCUCUUUUCGUUUUGGCUGUUCUUUCUUCCAAUCCUCUGUUCCUGUGAUAACCGUGCUUUCUUUCGCGGAAAGGGUUGCUGAUUUUCGUGGUUUAAGGGAUUUUCUCUCUUUCACUUUCUCCGUUUUGCUGAAAAACCACCCAACCAAUAAACGCUUUCGAUUUGAUUCGAAGAAAAAUUUUACCCAUAAAGGAUAGCAUUUCUUGGUGAGUUCUUCGGAUCUUACAUCUGGGGUUUUCUUUUGUUCAAAUAUGGGGUUUUGUGAUCGUGGUUUUCCUUUUCUUUUUUCUUUUUAAAUUUUUUUUUUUUAUUUGAGAUUUUGUUUGGGUUCUCUUUUUUCAGAUGAGUUUUGCAUCCCUGUAAACCUAGAUUUGUCGGCGCUAUGUGGAAGGUCAUAAAAUUGGUUUCCAAGGUUUUUUUUCUUCCUGAUUUUGCGAUUGCUGAUGCAAGGGUUUCAGAGUAUUUCCCAAUCUCUCCUUACAUAGCAACCUCCAGUUGUCCUCUGCUUUUCUCACUCUCCAAUGUUCAUCAACACCAUCAGUAAAUUGCAAUGGGUUGUCCACGGUUUGCCUGGUAAAACCAGAUUUUGUGAGUCUAUGAUUUUUCAGGAGUUGCAGCGUUGUUAGUAAGGUUUGAGCAUUUUCAUCACAUUAGCUAUUCCGUUCAUCAGUCCAAUAUGUUCUUAUCCCUUGCACUCCGUUGUUUAUGUUUGGAAUUUGUGAUUAGAAAUUGGAGAAUUAACUUCUUGAUAAUUGCAUGUGUUUAUGCCCCCUCAUGAUAUCAUGAGAUCUAAUGAGAUUGUUUGCGAUCUGGUUAAAUACAUAGUAAUAAGGACAAUAGUUCAUAUUUUUAAAGAAGGUUAAUGGUUCUGGGUUUUUACAUUUAUUGUUAACUAUAAUUGUUAUGGUUGAUUAUCAUUCUUUUAGUCUUACUGGGUUUCUUUGUUCAAUGGUUUGGUCCAUCUUAUUAAGUUUCUCACCAGAGAUCUCUUCUAGCACUGCUCUUCUCUUGGACCAGGUACAACUUCUUUGACUUUCUGUUUGUUUCCGAGAAAAUUUAGAGCUCGAAAGUGUGUAGAACUGUAGAAGUAAAAAAAGUCUCAAUCUUUCUAUUGUCCUGUACAAAAAGAAAUUGAAUUUGGAAUUUGUGUUUUUGGCAUACCCUUUACUAGAAUUUUGUGAUUUGGGAAUUGUAGAAGUUGGUGGCGAUUCAAAACCCAUUAACUUGGAUGAGAAUUAAGAGUAAUUUGAAACCAGACAUCAAGGAAUUGCAAGUGGGUAAUGAUAAUGAUAAUGAUGUUGUUUUGGUUUUUAAUUCCUUAUCAUCGCUACUACAAAAAAGCUAAUGCUGCUCUAACAUGAUACAAGAGACCAACACUUUCAUCCAUAUGGAGUGCUGAUAUACUGAUAUCUGAGAUUUUUUAUCUUUGAAAUAGCUCUGCGAUUUGCCAGCUUUUAAUCCAACAAGAAAGAUGAAGGUUCGUGCCUAUUGAGUGUGGAGGAGUUAAAGUAGGUGAGUUCGAAAAAUGUAAGAAUGCAGGAAUGUAAGUAAAGAUUAAUCUUUUUCACAUGCACAUCAUCUUUUGUAUAUAGAUUGUAUCAAUCAAAUCUUUCGUAUAUAAAGAUUUAUUCAGCA